rnacentral:rRNA from 1 species
UACGAAGGGGGCUAGCGUUGCUCGGAAUCACUGGGCGUAAAGCGCACGUAGGCGGAUCUUUAAGUCAGGGGUGAAAUCCUGGAGCUCAACUCCAGAACUGCCUUUGAUACUGGGGAUCUCGAGUCCGGAAGAGGUGAGUGGAACUCCGAGUGUAGAGGUGAAAUUCGUAGAUAUUCGGAAGAACACCAGUGGCGAAGGCGGCUCACUGGUCCGGUACUGACGCUGAGGUGCGAAAGCGAUGGGAGCA